AGAGUUUGAUCCUGGCUCAGGAUAAACGCUGGCGGCGUGACAUAACACAUGCAAGUCGAACGAUGAAACUUAGAUGAUUUCUUCGGAAUGAACUUAGUGGAUUAGUGGCGAACGGGUGAGUAACACGUGAGUAACCUGCCUUACACAAGGGGAUAGCCCCUGGAAACGGAGAAAUAAUACCCUAUAAAGUCUAAUCAGCACAUGCUGGAAAGACCAAAGAUUUAUCGGUGUAAGAUGGACUUGCGUCUGAUUAGCUAGUUGGUGAGAUAAAAGCUCACCAAGGCGACGAUCAGUAGCCGGCUUGAGAGAGUGUACGGCCACAUUGGGACUGAGACACGGCCCAAACUCCUACGGGAGGCAGCAGUGGGGAAUUUUGCACAAUGGGGGAAACCCUGAUGCAGCGACGCCGCGUGAUUUAGAAGGCCUUCGGGUUGUAAAAAUCUUUUUACGGGAUGAAAAUGACAGUACCGUAAGAAUAAGGUCCGGCUAAAUACGUG
rnacentral:rRNA from 1 species